rnacentral:rRNA from 1 species
AUUGAACGCUGGCGGCAGGCCUAACACAUGCAAGUCGAACGGUAACAGGAAGCAGCUUGCUGCUCUGCUGACGAGUGGCGGACGGGUGAGUAAUGUCUGGGAAACUGCCCGAUGGAGGGGGAUAACUACUGGAAACGGUAGCUAAUACCGCAUAACGUCGCAAGACCAAAGAGGGGGACCUUAGGGCCUCUUGCCAUCGGAUGUGCCCAGAUGGGAUUAGCUAGUAGGUGGGGUAACGGCUCACCUAGGCGACGAUCCCUAGCUGGUCUGAGAGGAUGACCAGCCACACUGGAACUGAGACACGGUCUAGACUCCUACGGGAGGCAGCAGUGGGGAAUAUUGCACAAUGGGCGCAAGCCUGAUGCAGCCAUGCCGCGUGUAUGAAGAAGGCCUUCGGGUUGUAAAGUACUUUCAGCGGGGAGGAAGGGAGUAAAGUUAAUACCUUUGCUCAUUGACGUUACCCGCAGAAGAAGCACCGGCUAACUCCGUG